rnacentral:rRNA from 1 species
GGGGAAUAUUGCACAAUGGGGGAAACCCUGAUGCAGCGACGCCGCGUGGAGGAAGAAGGUCUUCGGAUUGUAAACUCCUGUUGUUGAGGAAGAUAAUGACGGUACUCAACAAGGAAGUGACGGCUAACUACGUGCCAGCAGCCGCGGUAAAACGUAGGUCACAAGCGUUGUCCGGAAUUACUGGGUGUAAAGGGAGCGCAGGCGGGAAGGCAAGUUGGAAGUGAAAUCCAUGGGCUCAACCCAUGAACUGCUUUCAAAACUGUUUUUCUUGAGUAGUGCAGAGGUAGAUGGAAUUCCCGGUGUAGCGGUGGAAUGCGUAGAUAUCGGGAGGAACACCAGUGGCGAAGGCGGUCUACUGGGCACCAACUGACGCUGAGGCUCGAAAGCAUGGGUAGCAAACAGGAUUAGAUACCCUGGUAGUCCAUGCCGUAAACGAUGAUUACUAGGUGUUGGGGGAUUGACCCCCUCAGUGCCGCAGUUAACACAAUAAGUAAUCCACCUGGGGAGUACGACCGCAAGGUUGAAACUCAAAGGAAUUGACGGGGGCCCGCACAAGCAGUGGAGUAUGUGGUUUAAUUCGAAGCAACGCGAAGAACCUUACCAGGUCUUGACAUCCGAUGCAUAACACAGAGAUGUGUGAAAUCCUUCGGGACAUCGAGACAGGUGGUGCAUGGUUGUCGUCAGCUCGUGUCGUGAGAUGUUGGGUUAAGUCCCGCAACGAGCGCAACCCUUAUUGCCAGUUACUACGUUAAGAGGACUCUGGCGAGACUGCCGUUGACAAAACGGAGGAAGGUGGGGAUGACGUCAAAUCAUCAUGCCCUUUAUGACCUGGGCUACACACGUACUACAAUGGCGUUAAACAAAGAGAAGCAAGACCGCGAGGUGGAGCAAAACUCAAAAACAACGUCUCAGUUCAGAUUGCAGGCUGCAACUCGCCUGCAUGAAGUCGGAAUUGCUAGUAAUCGCGGAUCAGCAUGCCGCGGUGAAUACGUUCCCG